UCCUGCCGGAUACUGCUAUCGAGGUUCGACUAAGCCAUGCGAGUCGAAUGUAGCAAUACAUGUCAGUAACACGUGGACAACCUGCCCUUAGGUUGGGUACGGUAAACCCGGGAAACUGGCGUAUAAUACCCGAUAGGUCUCGAUUGCCGGUGGAAGCAUCGAGAUUUAAAGCUCCGGCGCCUAAGGAUGCGGCCUAUCAGGUAGUAGUGGGUGUAGCGUACCUACUAGCCACUUUACGACCGGGGUACGGGUUGUGAGAGCAAGAGCCCGGAGAGAUUCUGAGACACGAAUCCAGACCCUACGGGGUGCAGCAGGCGCGAAAUACAAUGUGGCAACAGCGAUAAGGGAACGGCCUCGAGUGCCAGGUUACAUGGGUCGAGAUGCCUAAAAAGCAUUUCAUAGCAAGGGCCCAAGACCGGUGCCCCGCCGCGGUAACACCGGCGGCUCGAGUGGUAACCGUUAUUAUUGGGUCUAAAGGACUUGUCUGUAGCCCAAGUCUCUUGAGAAAUCUGGCAGCUUAACUUUUCAGGAGAUACUGUCUGGCUCGGGCGGCCGGGAGAGGUGAGAGGUACUUCAGGCGGGGUAGGGGUGAAAUCUUGUAAUCCUUGAAGGACCACCAGUGGCGAAGGCGUCUCACCAGAACGGACCUGACGGCAAGGGACGAAAGCACGAACCGGAUUAGAUACCCGGGUAGUCCUAGCCGUAAACGAUACUCGCUAGUGUCGGCCACGGUGCGACCGUUGUCGGUGCCGUAGGGAAGCCGUGAAGCGACUUAGCCACCUGGGAAGUACGGCCGCAAGGCUGA
rnacentral:rRNA from 1 species